rnacentral:rRNA from 1 species
AACGUAGGAGACAAACGUUAUCCGGAGUUACUGGGCGUAAAGGGCGUGUAGGCGGUUUGUUAAGUCUGGCGUGAAAGCUCUCGGCUAAACCGGGAGAGGUCGUUGGAUACUGGCAAACUAGAGGACGGUAGAGGCGUGUGGAAUUCCGGGUGUAGUGGUGAAAUGCGUAGAGAUCCGGAGGAACACCAGUGGCGAAGGCGGCGACCUGGACCGAUACUGACGCUGAGACACGAAAGCGUGGGGAGCAAACAGG